rnacentral:rRNA from 1 species
CGGCAACAGCUCAAAUUUGAAAUCUGGCCUCGGCCCGAGUUGUAAUUUGCAGAGGAUGCUUUUGGCGCGGUGCCUCCCGAGUCCCCUGGAACGGGGCGCCACAGAGGGUGAGAGCCCCGUAUGGUAGGACGCCUAGCCUGUGUAAAGCUCCUUCGAC